rnacentral:misc_RNA from 1 species
AUGAUUGAUGGAUGUGCUUUUCUUUCACUACAUACAAAUGUGGACACACGCUAACCUUAUUUCAUAUGAAAAAGAAAUUUAUAAAUAACACUCACAGAAGAAUAUAAUCAGUGCAACAAUAAAUUGAAUAGUUUCACUUGUGAGUGACAUACAAGAAGAAAGCUGGUUUCAGAGGCAACAAGUUUGUUUCAAAGUUGUCUCCUUAAGUAGUCAGUAGGACUGAUCCCAAUUUUAAGUGUUUUCAGUUAGAAAUCAUUUUCCACAGGAGCAUAAUUCACCCAAUUAUCUCCUCUUAACUUGUUGGAGAAAAAUGGAAGUUGUUCCUUAUCUGAAGAAGCCAUCAAUGAAGAAAUUCUACAGUCCCAAGUUGUUAAAUGUGGCGCCAAGUUGAAGUUCAUCCA